AAAAACUACAGAACGUUGGAUCACGCCUCAUUAAUUGACGUGGCAGAUCCAACACUCCAAAGGUUAGGAUGCAUGCUGGAACACGCUGCAAGCCAAACACAAGAUCUAGUUUAAAUCAAACUAGUCAAAACAUUUCAAUUUGCCAACAUGUCUAAUUCAAACUCAGACAACGUGAGAAAGCUCUGGUUGUCUUCUCAGGUGAGCUCUCACCGGAGUUUCAUCGUUUGGUAAAUUCAAGACACGGG
rnacentral:lncRNA from 1 species